GACACUGCGCAGAACCCUCAAGCUCCCAGGCUUCUGGUAAAGGACCCAAGCUUGGAAGGAUGAGACCACCCGUGAACCACCCGCCGAUGCCCUUCAGUGCUGUGUCCAUGUAUAGAUCCAUGUGCCCGCUUAUCUUAGUCGCUAUGAUGCCUGACAGGAGCUUACAUGUUGUGGGGAAACGGGUAACUUGCCGAUAGUUGGAUGGGACUGUAUUGAGGGGUCCUUCAGGAUCAGGACUGUGCCCCUUUCAGUUAGCCAUGCAGGGUGAGUCGCAUUCUUUAGCAGCUGAUUCAUUUGUGUUACCAGGCGCUAAUGGAGUGCGGUGAGCUUCUUAAGCCAGUAGAUGUGGAUCUUGUCAGGCCCUGGUGCUGUCCAGUUUUUCAUACCUGACACUCUUUCUUGGAUGUCAUCCACAGGACACUGGGUUCUGCUCAGGGAGGUUGUGGUCUUCUCUUAGAGAAGAACAGCAUUGCUGUUGUGUGAUGCCUCUUUCUUCCAAAUGCCUUUCCAAUACUGUUCAGUCUCCAGCCUUGGUGGGUCUGCCCUGCAGUUAUAUUUCCACUAUGCGUACACUUUAGCUGAUUGGGUCAAGAAGCGCUGGUUUAUUCAUUUGGCUUCACUUUCUCUCAUGCAUCUCUUUAUCGCCAAAGCUUGGAUCCUUGUUUGGCAGUUUCUAGUGCUUCAGGGCUCUUCGGUACCGUUUUUCUCAUUGUGCCUUUCUGGAGCUCUGACAAUUGGCUCAAAUCUCUCCAUGCUACCUUGAUUUUGGCCUCCAACCUUCUUUUCCAUGGUGCGUAUUGUUUCUCAUGGUUGCUCAUGUUCUUAUAGCCAAGAAUAUCAAUGAUCUCUGCUGUUGAAGUGUAUAUCAGCUCAUUAGUUUCAGUGAUGUUGGUUGUAGGAAUAGUUCUCAAUGCUGCAUUUACAUUUUCCAUGAUUUCUGAUGAUACUUCACUCAGCCGUUGCAGUUGGCGUCAAGGUUGCCUGGUGUUUAUUUGUGCCAUUAUCCCAUCUCUCAGGUCAGUUGCUGCCUUGUUCAGAGUUGUUUCACUUAUUGGGGCUUCGUACCCAGUCUCUGGAUGGGGAGUUGAUGUUAACUCCCCUCUGACCUUGUGCCCUGGCUCCCCCUUGCCCUAGCAUUUGUGUUCUAUCUUGUCAAUCUCAAAUUGUGAUAGCAGUUGCCAUUUUUAAACAUAGCAUUUUAUUAAAUUGUACUAAAUUCAACCUUUAAGUGUUGAUUUGCAAAAAAAAAGAAGACGAUAUUUUAACUCAUGGAGGCUGCAGUUCUGUUGUUGCAUGAGCCAUGGACGUAGUUUUGGGGGACACAGGGGGGACAUACCCCCCCCCCCCCCCCCCAACACACACACACUUUUUCCAAAGACAAUUCUUUUCUUUUUUUUCCACUGCCACCUGUGUACUUGACAGUUCUGCGUUCCUGACAAUGCAUAAAAGAGCCUCUAGCCUGUAGUUUAAUUACAUAUUUUUUCUAUGCUAACUGUAAAGAUCCCUUCCCCCAUCCUCAUGCCGGCAGAAAGAUCUCAUCAGUCCUACAAACACUAAAAUGUAACAACCAAUUGUCAUGAGCCGGGGUGAGUACUCGUCACAUCAUUCACCACCUUUGAGCUCUGAUUACAGGAGAGGGAGCAACAGCUGUUUCUCAUCAGCGGGCCGGCUAUAUAAGGAGGAGGAGGACCAGAUUACGACGCCGGAUGAUUGCCGUUCACUGGUAGUCGCUUGCCUCCGAGUUUUUCGCUCUGUUUGCUCUUUGAUAUUUGAACUUUGAAUUUUUGGAAUAUUCGCUCAUUAAUGUUUGAUACCUACCUCAGGUUCCUGGAUUUCUGGAUUACGUGCUCUGCCCCUGGAAGGAAAUCUCUGGUUCAUUCCUGUAUCUCCUCUGCCUGCCGACCCGCUCUCCACCUCGCUCACGCUCCCUCUCCGGAUCAAUAUCCUCGCUCAUUCUCCUACUCACCUUCAUCUUGGACCGCUUCCUCAUCUUGGAUAUCACCACGGCUCACUCCCCUCCUAACAACAACUUCACUUCCGCACAACGCCGGUUCCAGAUUCUGCAACCCGCUGGAUUUCAGUGCGCCCUUAGUUUUCCCGUUUAAUAAAUAUCAUUUUACCUUUUACUAUCCAACUUGUCUCCGGUCUCUGAUUCUGCAUGUCUUGGGUUAAGCACAUACCUCAGAACAUAACACCAAUAGCAUUCAAUAGAAGCUUUCCAAUCUUAGCCAAUAAAUUUAACAAACUGUUCAUGUCCAGGAUGAUAAAUCUUGCAGAGGUGUCAAUCAAGAGCAUGUGUGACACGUAUCCUUUUUUUUUACAUUACUGUCCUAAAAAAUUGAUCUUGAUUUACAGAAAAAUGGUAAAGAAGACAAAAUCAAAUCAGAAUGCAAAGUGUUUCACAUGUGUUGUUUAAGCUGCUGCGUCUACAACCAAACUCAGAACAUAGUGAAAAGAAUUAUAAAAACAACCAAAAGGAAAUUGCAUGAACAAUUUUUACAGCUAAAUCAAUGACAGAAACUGACAAAUGUAGUGAAGUGUAGCGCCAAUGCCCUAUACACUGGCACUACCUGGUAGCUGUUGCGGGUGGUCUUUACGUGUGCUUUAAGAAAUGCAGCUUGAGUUUAUUUCCGAUGUUUAUUAUUUUGUCUGGUUCCAAAAAUGUCCAUGAUGAUCCAUUUACAGCAGUUAAAGUGGGUUUCAGUGCAUGCGUUACUUGCCCCAGUGACAAUCCGCAGAGUCCGUUACCCCAGCCACAGUCCUCGCCACACAGUAAAAAACUGUUUGUCCCAUCCAGCCAACCCUGAGUCCAAUCUGUGUUGGCUUAAGUAGGCUGGUGCUUCCACAAGCAAUUAACCAAUAAUAUUAGGCCAAGCCUCCUCUCAAGUGCACAAAAAGAAAUGACACAUAUGGCUCCUACAUGUAGUUUUAUGACAUAUUGUGCUUUAUCCUGUAAAUUGUACUGCAGAACAAAAAAAAAAAAAAAACAA